rnacentral:rRNA from 1 species
CCCUAGUAACGGCGAGUGAAGCGGGAUGAGCUCAAAUUUAAAAUCUGGCGGUCUCAGAUCGUCCGAGUUGUAGUCUAGAGAAGCGUUUUCCGUGCUGGCCUGUGUACAAGUCCGUUGGAACACGGCGUCAUAGAGGGUGAGAAUCCCGUCCUUGACACAGAUCUCCAGUGCUUUGUGAUGCGCUCUCAAAGAGUCGAGUUGUUUGGGAAUGCAGCUCAAAAUGGGUGGUAAAUUCCAUCUAAAGCUAAAUAUUGGCGAGAAACCGAUAGCGAACAAGUACCGUGAGGGAAAGAUGAAAAGCACUUUGGAAAGAGAGUUAAACAGUACGUGAAAUUGUUGAAAGGGAAACGAUUGAAGUCAGUCAUGCUUUCCGAGACUCAGCCGGUUCUGCCGGUGUACUUCUCGGUUUGCAGGCCAGCAUCAGUUUUGGGCGGUGGAAAAGGUUGGCGGGAAUGUGGCAUCCUCGGAUGUGUUAUAGCCCGCUUUCGAAUACAUCGCCCGGGACUGAGGAACGCAGCACGCCUCUUGUAGGUCGGUCUUCGGACACGUCCGUGCUUAGGAUGCUG